rnacentral:rRNA from 1 species
GAUGAACGCUAGCGGCAGGCCUAAUACAUGCAAGUCGAACGGUGUCUUCGGACAUAGUGGCGCACGGGUGCGUAACACGUAUGCAACCUACCUUACAUUGGGGGAUAGCCUUUCGAAAGGGAGAUUAAUACCGCAUAAGACAGUAGCUGGGCAUCCAGCAGCUGUUAAAGAUUUAUCGAUGUAAGCUGGGCAUGCGUCCAAUUAGCUAGUUGGUGAGGUAACGGCUCACCAAGGCAAUGAUUGGUAGGGGAACUGAGAGGUCAAUCCCCCACACUGGCACUGGGAUACGGGCCAGACUCCUACGGGAGGCAGCAGUAGGGAAUAUUGGGCAAUGGACGCAAGUCUGACCCAGCCAUGCCGCGUGCAGGAUGAAGGCGUUAUGCGUUGUAAACUGCUUUUAUACAGGAGGAAACGACUCUUGCGAGAGGCAUUGACGGUACUGUAUGAAUAAGCACCGGCUAACUCCGUGCCAGCAGCCGCAGUAACAC